AACGAUGCCCGGUUCUACCGCACGUCCCCACGUGAGGAUGCGCCUCUGCCGUCUACCCCGCAAUACGCGACUAUGGUGGAAGCGUGAAUCACGUGGAUAGCCGCUCAACAUGGUAGAGCCUCGACAAGUAAUCAAUUUGUUAAAACGGGUGAGCGGUAACGCUAUGAAGCUCCGGGGACGGAGUGAGCGUGGAUGGCCUUAUUUGGAGCAUU
rnacentral:ncRNA from 1 species